UGCUGAUAAAACCUUUACACUGCUGCCUCUUGCCAUCUCUCCUUCUCUAUCUCUCUGAGAUGUUCUGAUCCAAUCUUGACUUCCUUUGAGAUCAGCCUGCUGGAUAUUAUGGAGCAUUUCUGGAGUUGAGGGACUGCUCUCUGGGAAUUUCCAGCGUGCAGGUGGUAAAACACUGACUGCCAUGAACUUCAUCAGGGAAAAAAAUAAUAAAAAAAAAAACAGGAAAAAGCUGUGGUUUGGAAGCAGCUGGAUGGCAAACUGCAGGCUGGGAAUGUGGCUGCCAAAACCACCACAAGGAGAGUGGGGCAUAGAGGCAUUUGUGGAGCAUUCUGUUUGCUAAUUCCUCAUGGAAUUUCAGGUUGAAAGAGAAGAAGGGAAUCUACCAGGUGGCUGCAUCUUGAAAAACAGAAAGCCAUUUCCAGCUGGAUUUUCCCCAAGAUGUUAAUAUUGUGCUGGGUUUAAUGCUGACUGAAGCAAGGUAGCAAGUGGUAUUGCAGGCCUGACAUGCCUGUUCUGCCAGGGAACAGCGUGAGCUUUCAACUCAGAAAACAAGGCCUUGUCUUCCUGUCCCAUUUUGCAGCAGACCUGUGUGUGUGAGAAGUACAGCUGUGGGAUGCCUGAUGAAAAGAGGUGCUUGAACAACUGGCCUUCAGCUCUGUCACCUUUUCUCCCUGCUUGCAAAAAAACCAAAACCAAACAAAGCAAAACCAACCACACACAUGAAAAAGAGACAAAAAAUCCAAGCCAAAGAUAGUUUAUGUACAGCUCAGGAAGCUCUCAGCAACGAGUGUGUCUGUGAUUUAAUAACAUACCUACCCAAAAUGACACUUUUUCUACUACUCACUGAGAAAAAGAAGGCAGAGCAGCACACAAGGCACUGCUGUUGCAGCAACAAGCAGCCAAACUACCAGGUAUUUAUUUUUCAAUGUACACAAUUAUUGGGGGGGAAUAAAAAUUAUUCUUUGACACUCUGAGAGAGCUGUAAAAAGCCCUGUCCUCCCCUACUCCCAUGGUCCUGACAAGAAACGCCUCACAAAUUCUAAUAAAUAGAGAAUAGAAAUAAAUACUUUAACUACACAGCAUCAGGUUUCAAAUGGCUUCCUGAAUCAGAAAGUGCUGCUAGUCCAUCUUCCUUAUUUCCACACUCUGUAAUGGUGGCUCUCCAAAAGUCAAAGUGAGAUGGAUACUACAAGGAUCACAGACACUACACUGGGAAACCAAGUAUCAGUGGGUACAUCCAGAUUUAUGGUAGGUGAUGGCAGUAAAGUGAAAGCAAAACUGUUUGCACAGUC